rnacentral:rRNA from 1 species
CGCCUUCUGGAGUUUGGCAGAGGGGGGUAGAAUUCCACGUGUAGCAGUGAAAUGCGUAGAGAUGUGGAGGAAUACCGAUGGCGAAGGCAGCCCCCUGGGCCAAUACUGACGCUCAUGCACGAAAGCGUGGGGAGCAAACAGGAUUAGAUACCCUGGUAGUCCACCCCCUAAACGAUGUCAACUAGGUGUUGGAGGGGUUAAACCUUUUAGUGCCGUAGCUAACG